AUAUAGAUAUAGAGUUGUCGAAUCGGUUUUGAUUUUGUCGCUCAAUCGAACAAGGUUCAAUCGAAUAUUAUGAUUAUGAAGACGAAAACAAAGAAGAUUAUGAAGGGGAAGGAGUCAAGAAGUUGAUUUCGUCAGAGAAAAUGUAACAAGAAAAUGGAGAAGCUUUUAUUGAAUGCAGACCGGUUGUCGAAAAAGUCGAUGAUUGAUGCGCUUAAACCAUAGCAACUUUUUGCAUUUGAUUUCUUCAAUAUGUUAUAUAACUCCUGACUUUUUUAGACUAACAACUUUAGCUGAGUUUAGACUAACUUAAAUUAUGAAAAACUAUGAUGCAGAAUAUUGAUCCUGCUAAAAGACCGGGUGCAGGACCUGGUGGUUAUGAGUCACUAAAGAAUCAUCGUUCUUUUAAGGAGUUGAUUGGCAUGAUAUAAAGUCAAAGCUAUACUUGUAUUGGAGAAGCUAUUUCUAAAGGCCAAAGAAGUAAUUCUACCUUGAUACAUUAUACAUGUUAUCAUCCAACUUUCUACAGGCUCCCAAUGCAGCUCCGCAUGUCCUGCGGACACGAAUGCAACUCCGAAAUAACCGGGCCUGCGUGAGGAGUUUUUGCACCAUUUAAAGGCAGUUUUUUUUUUUUUGCUGUGAAAUGCACUUUUGUAUAAAAAAUGUGAAAUUUUGACCUUUUAAUGCACUUUUCACUUUUGUAUAAAAAACAGCCGCUACAGAUUUUACUAAAUAUCGGCGAUUUCGCCGAUAUUGUCACUGGCCGAGAUAAUGCUGAUAUUACAAAACGAUUUUUUGGGCUACCACCGAUAACCGAGAUAUCGACGCUAUAGCACCGCUACAACGCCGAGAUUAACUGCAUAGCCACUACUAUGGAUCAUACAAAUUGUUUGUGGACAACUGUGGACAACUGGGAUGUAGAAGGAUCUUUUAAGCCAUUGAAUUUAUGAAUCCAACAAGGCAACCUUUUGUUCGAUCCACUAUUUGAAGGCAUUUUGGGUAUUUUUUUUCC